AGAUUGAACGCUGGCGGCAUGCCUUACACAUGCAAGUCGAACAGCAGCACGGGGGCAACCCUGGUGGCGAGUGGCGAACGGGUGAGUAAUGCAUCGGAACGUGCCCAGUAGUGGGGGAUAACUAGUCGAAAGAUUAGCUAAUACCGCAUACGACCUAUGGGUGAAAGCGGGGGAUUCGCAAGAACCUCGCGCUAUCGGAGCGGCCGAUGUCUGAUUAGCUAGUUGGCGGGGUAAAAGCCCACCAAGGCUUCGAUCAGUAGCUGGUCUGAGAGGACGACCAGCCACACUGGGACUGAGACACGGCCCAGACUCCGUACGGGAGCAGCAGUGGGAAUUUGGACAAGUGGGCGCAAGCCUGAUCCAGCCAUCGCCGCGU
rnacentral:rRNA from 1 species